rnacentral:rRNA from 1 species
GACGAACGUUGGCGGCGUGCCUAAUACAUGCAAGUCAACUGAAAUACCGGUAGCAAUACUGGUAUGGAGGUGGCGCACGGGUGAGUAACACGUAGGUAAUCUGCCUUCAGGUCUGACAUAACCCAUCGAAAGGUGAGCUAAUAUCAGAUGAUGCAGCGGCUUGACAUCAAGACAGUUGUUAAAGCUUCGGCGCCUGAAGAUGAGCCNGCGUCUGAUUAGCUAGUUGGCGGGUAACGGCCCACCAAGGCUGCGAUCAGUAGCUGGUCUGAGAGGAUGAUCAGUCACACUGGAACUGAGACACGGUCCAGACUCCUACGGGAGGC